rnacentral:rRNA from 1 species
UACGUAGGGUGCAAGCGUUGUCCGGAAUUAUUGGGCGUAAAGAGCUCGUAGGCGGUCUGUCACGUCGGCUGUGAAAACCCGGGGCUCAACCCCGGGCCUGCAGUCGAUACGGGCAGACUAGAGUGCGGUAGGGGAGACUGGAAUUCCUGGUGUAGCGGUGAAAUGCGCAGAUAUCAGGAGGAACACCGGUGGUGCAGACGGCUCUCUGGACCGUAACUGACGCUGAGACACGAAAGCGUGGGUAGCAAACAGG